ensembl:Y_RNA Y_RNA Y RNA
GGUUGGUCCAAAGGUUGAGAGUUAUCUCAAUUGAUUGUUCAGAGUCAGUUGUGGAUGAAACUCCUUGUUUUACUCUUUUCCCCUUCUUACUGCUACACUUGACUAGUCAAAA